rnacentral:rRNA from 1 species
AUGGACCGAGUGAACAAGCCCUCCUCUCUGAAGUUGAUUCCAGAGGAGAAAGCUGACGUGAAGAUGUUGAUGGAGCGCGUGGUGCAGUUGGUUCGGGAGGGAGUGACGGGCAUGGAUCUCCUGGAGGUCUUCCUUAGGCGUCGCAUCCAGCCCCUUCAGUUCCGGAGCCACUGCAUGUGUUUGUACUGUGGGACUGAAGACGAGACUCGAGUCCAUCCAGAAGCAGUCGACGAUGUCACCCUGGAAAGAUGGAUGGCAGCCGUUACCGGAAACAAGGAUAACCCACGCGGAGCCAGAAGGAUUCCUCCACUCGACCACAACAGCGAUCCAAACAAGGCCCUCACCGAGCUGUACUCGAUGCCCAAUGGGGCACAAUCUCCGACUGAGGAGGGUGAGGCGAGUGGGGGCGAGAGCCAGGAAGAGGAGGAAUGGGACUCGGACGUUGCUGAGGAUGAUGAUGACGAUGAUGAUGAUGACGGUGAUGAAGAUGACGUUGAAGACGAGGAAGAAGAGGAGGAGGAGGUCGUACCACCGCGCUCAGAAAGGCGGUCGAAGCUUGUCCACGACCCUUCGACUGAACGUGGUAAGGGGGUUGCGACCGCUGCUCAGUCGACCAAAUGCCCUCGGACCACCUCUCCAGUGCCGACUAAAAAGGCGCCGAAGCAGCCCAGGGCGGCCCCGUCGAAGCCGAUCAAGCUCCUGCCGAAGAUGAAGGUGUCCAUCCCCACCAUAUCAGGUGCUGCUACUUCUGAGACCUCAGCCCGGGCUGAUGACCAUGAGAUGGAGGACGCAGCAACUUCAAAACCAGCUCCACCCAAUGUUGUUAUCAAUCUCCCUGAUGAUGAUGAGGAUGAGGAACCGCUGAAGCGCAGAAGGAGUAGGAAAGCGUCCGCCAGCAAGGUGCCCCAGGAUGUGACGGCGCCUGAGAUUCUGUUUGCGGAGGAAGAGAACACCACUCGACACACGGUGUCCUUCGUAGAUCCAUUGACGAGUGCUCAGCAGCCCUCCCUCUUCACGACGCACCACGUCCCAGAGGACCAAGCUGGCGCGGCGAAGGAGGCGAUACGCCAAGCGGGAGUCAUGAUGGAGCAGUUGAAGACCAUCCGGGAUGCGAGCCAGGCAGCUUAUGACGCCAGUUCUGCCCUCCAAAGCAAUGUUCAGAACUCCUGUGAUCUUGUGGCUCGCUACUCUGAGCUGGAAAACAAGCACACUCAACUCGAGCUGAGCUUGAAGCUGGUUCAGGAGAAGCUGACGAAGGCAAAGGAGGAGACCGAAGGUAAGGUAAGGGAGGCCCAACAGAAGAAAGACCUCGAACUAGCUGAGAAGAUCAAGCUUGCUGACGAGAAGUUAGCUUCAGUCACCAAGCUUGAACAAGACAAUACCAAUCUGAAAGCUGCCCUUGGGAUCGCCAACAAGGAGGUCAGUCGACUAAAAACUGAUAAAGCUGCCCUGACCGACCAAGUCAGUAAGUUGACUGGGAAGAAAAAUGAUCUGGAGGCCUUCCUGAGUGGUCUUGCCAAGAAGCUGUUUCUUAUGCUUGAAGAAUUUUGCCAAAACUUUGAAGAAGAAACUAGCCGGCUGGAGCCAAACCUCGACCCCGUCAAUUCUCCGGUGAACGACGAAGUUGCCAUGGAUGUUUUCCGACUGGAGUCUCGUGUUGCAGCUGUCGUGGACUAUCUCGCAAGGCUGAAGGCCGCCACAUCUCGCAUCGACUCGACGCUCUGGCCUGGGGAGACACUUCAGAAUGACCUUGAGUCGCUGAUGGCCCGCUUGAACACGAUCCCUGGUCGAGUGCAGGAAUGGAAGAAGUCCUCGGCUCGGUGUGGUGCAGAUGUUGCUCUGUGUCUGGCCCGAGUCCACUGUAAAGAUGCGCGAGAAGAGAAGCUGGCGGCCCUUCGGGUGGCCAACACCAAGAAACACGACUUCAGGUCCUUUAUGGAAACUUUCCUUGCGGCUGCCACUCGGAUCGCCGACGGAAUUGACCUUGAUGAGUUCGUUGCACCUUCCAGCCCUCCACAGGAGGGGUAA